CAAAAAGGAAUUAAGUGCACGUUUUGAUUCGCUGUUACGAGGGGAAAUUCCUAUUUAAUUUUUGUUUUAUGUACUAUAUAAAAUUACCAAAAAGGGGCAGCAUCCACUCAAUCAGAAGUCCAGUUCCAGUCUCCCGACCACUAGAAACACGUCUACUCUCUCUGUAUGUGUAUCUUCUGCACAUAUUUACAUGUGUACGCAGAUAAGUAUGUGUUUGAAUUAUAAAAUCAAACUGUUUGAUUUGUAAGAUCAAACUUUAAAAACUCAAUGAAGAUUUUAUCAAA